GGGCCCGCACAAGCGGAGGAACAUGUGGUUUAAUUCGAUGAUACGCGAGGAACCUUACCCGGGAUUGAAAUGAAGUCGAAUAAAGGUGAAAGCCUUUAGCCAGCAAUGGCGGCUUUGUAGGUGCUGCAUGGUUGUCGUCAGCUCGUGCCGUGAGGUGUCGGCUUAAGUGCCAUAACGAGCGCAACCCUGACUGUCAGUUGCUAACAGGUAAUGCUGAGGACUCUGGCGGGACUGCCGGCGUAAGCUGUGAGGAAGGUUGGGAUGACGUCAAAUCAGCACGGCCCUUACAUCCGGGGCGACACACGUGUUACAAUGGCAUGGACAGAGGGUUGCUACCUGGCGACAGGAUGCUAAAUCUCGAAACCGUGUCUCAGUUCGGAUCGGAGUCUGCAACCCGACUCCGUGAAGCUGGAUUCGCUAGUAAUCGCGCAUCAGCCAUGGCG
rnacentral:rRNA from 1 species